rnacentral:piRNA from 1 species
UACAAGAAUUACAACUGCAAGAUGCCUGAGU